UACGUAGGGGGCAAGCGUUGUCCGGAAUCAUUGGGCGUAAAGCGCGUGUAGGCGGUUCGGUAAGUCUGCUGUGAAAGUCCAGGGCUCAACCCGUGGGAUGCCGGUGGAUACUGUCGGACUAGAGUACGGAAGAGGCGAGUGGAAUUCCCGGUGUAGCGGUGAAAUGCGCAGAUAUCGGGAGGAACACCGAUGGCGAAGGCAGCCCC
rnacentral:rRNA from 1 species